GCUUCUCCCCAAGCUGCUUCGAGUGAUUGUUGUUGAGAGCUGUUGGUGGUUGUGGUGGCGUCUGGUUGCUGCUCCGUCGCAAUGGCAGCGCAGUGCUCGUGGAAGCGCAAGCUGAGUUGGGAUGUAGGCGGAGCUGGAGGUCAGGAAUGAUUUUUUUUGUAGUGUUGGGGGUGGUGGUGCUAGGGUUUGAGAGAGAGAGAAUUCAUGGUGAGAAAGCCAACGUGGUGUGCUGGUGGGGCCUGUGAGAGAGGAGGAGGGACGGUAACGGCAAUGGGGACGUGGUGGCACGAUUGGAGGCGUUGUUGGGUUGUUGUGGGUCGGAAUUGGGCUUAGGUUUUUUGUGUUUUACCAAACCUUUAGUUGGUGGCUCUGUUUUGUCGGUGUGUUGGUGGCGUGGGAGAGCGUGGUGAAGACGAGAAGUGAGUUGUAGUCAUGUUCUAGUCGUUUUGGAUUGAGGAAUUAUGCACGACCGUAGCCAACAUGGCUUGGUUUAGAGAGAUUUUGAUGAUCUCGGCAAUCGGUUCUUGAUGUUGAUUUGUUUAGGCAAGGGCUGUAAUAUCGAAAGGAGACUUCUGUUUCGAGGCGGCUACAGCUGGGUUGACAUGUGGUCUUUCUCUUUGGAAUAGUUUUAUGAGUUAGUUAGUUUUGAGAAUGGGGGGCGACUUGCCAAAGCGCGGUAGAUGAUGUUUCUUGUAGUGUGGGGACUUUUCGUUGGGAACGUAAGCGCCCUAAUCGACAACGUCGUCGCACUGCCUGCCUGCGGGGAAUUAAAUAACUUGGACUACUACAAGUGCAACUCGGUUCAGAGUUCGAGGUUAUUGGGCGAGUUACACAUGCGCUUACAACAUUACGUAGAGGGAUGUCAUGAAUGUUGCUAGCAUAUGUGGCGGUUCACGUCGGCAGCACAACCUCUUUGCCAGCGCAGGAUUUAAUGUUUCUACCUCGAAUUCCAAUUCUGGAUGGUAUAGUGGAAGAUGGGCACAUUCGUAACCGAGGCAGCAUCAGAAGAAUCUAUGGCAGAGGAGAUGGUGAAAAAUAAUGAAGACAAUCAUUCCAUGAGAACGAAAGGUGGUAGUGGAGGUGAGCCUGGAUCUAGAAGUGGUCAAGAAGAUGCGCCGCUGGAUGGGCAAAAUCUGAGUGAGACUUUGGCAUUAAGGUCAGCUGAGAAUAAAAAAGUUGAAGAAGAUCAGGAAAGUUUAAAUAAUCGGAGCAAUAAAUCUGGUGAACCAGACUAUGCUCACAAGAGCAAUGGGAAUCCUGAUUCUCAGGUUUAUGGAAACGGGGAUGGAGAUUUGCCGUCGUUUUCUAUUAAAAGACUAAGAAGGCUGCCACAUCGAGUUAGUCCUGAUAAUCAUCCGAGCACUUUGGCUUUUAGAACCGAGCCAACUGACGUCUUAAUGGAUCAGAAUUGUGUAGAUGAUGAUAAGGAGGCAAAACUAGGUGUGGGUGAAAGCAUGACGGACACUACACUAGGGAGAAAACUUGAAGCUGGAUUUGUUUGCCCUUUGUCGUUGCAGGCGGAAGAGACUACUGAACAAGUUCAGGCUCUUUCUGACUCCAGCUUGGUUGACGCUGCCCACUUCAGUGGGGAUUCAGCACGUACACCCGAGCUUAUAUCGAGGAUUUCUGACACUUUCAGUAGUAAAGAUGAAAUAGUAGGUACAUCGGAAGGCUCAUUAGAAGUUCCGGAAGAGGGCACAAGCUCAAGUGAUUCGCCUGGUGCACAAAACCGAAAGAUUGAGGGCAGUGAGUUAGAGGUAGAGCAUAGUAAGUUUGGAUAUGAUGGAACUGAGCUCCGGAAUCCCAAUAGUGGUGAGUCGGACCGUGCAGGGGAAUCUCUUAUUUCUGAUCUUUCAGACGAACGCGAUACAAACGAUCUUUCGGUGGAAAGGAAGGAAUAUGCAGAACCUGCUUUAGACCAAGAAAGAUCUGGAGAAAAUAAGCAUGCUUUUGCAAGUUCUGAACAUGCAUCAGACAAUACAAAUCCAUUAGGAGAGAUUGAGAGGUGGAGAACCGUGUUUCCUUCCUACGUUCCAAACUUCAAUGUUGAACACUCCGCAUUUGGGUUGCAAGCUGAUGAUUAUGGUCAGGAGGAUCAAGCACCUGGAAAUUCAGAUAUAUUGUCGUCAUCUGCUGGACUAGGUAGUAUGUCCGAAAAGUCCUGCGUGGAUGUUGACUUGGCAGCGACACCCAUGGAGGAUCUAACACCAGACGGACGGGCAGAAAAUGGAGCAUUUCUGGACGCGGGCACUACUGCAGAGUCAACCCACUCAGCUGAGAUACCUGCCCCCGGCGUUGUACAAAUUCUGGCCCCAGUAAUAGGGAGUAGAUUUGAGCAUCCAGGAGAGACUACUGAUGAAGAGAUCGACUCACCGAGGAGCAGCGAAGGGUUUGCUUAUCCUGACUCUGAUGCAACGACGCUUCUAUAUUCUGGGCAAGUAAUGCAUCCUGGGCGCUAUUCUUAUGGACAGUCACAGAAUGGGCCGAGUAUACUUCAAUAUUCCGGAAGCAUGUCACUCCGGUCUGACAGCAGCACCACAAGCAAUCGAUCUUUUGUUUUUCCAAUCUUGGCGCCUCCAGAUUAUAAUAGCAGCCCAGUUAGAAUGGCUAAACCUGACCCUCGGUAUCUAAAGAAGAAAAAUCGAAUAAGUGGUUGCUGUUUCUUCAGAUUAUGUCGAUCAAGACAUAAGUAUUAGAUGGGUUUUGUUUUUUUACCUCAUUAUUCAGAGGUAUGACAGCUUUCGAACAUCUCUUUGCCCUCACUUGUGUCGCCUACUGUUCCUUUCAACCCUCUAGCAAAUUAUGGGAGGAGCAUUUGAAUUUGGGUACCACAGGUGAAUUGCCAUUUCGAAGGUACGUUUUGAGGUGUACUUGUAGCAUCUUUGCUUUAUGCACAACGUGCUUGUUCAGCAAUAAAGUGGGUAAGGACCCAAACAAAGGCUUACGUUGUAUACUAUUGGUGGCAGCCAGUUUUUCAAGGAGCCUAGAGUAGUGUUCGUAAUAACUCUGGAUUUGGCUUUAACGCAGUCCUGGAUAGCUCUCUGCCCCUGAGCGAUGCAGAGAUAAUGGUUUUAAUACCCCUAAAUGUACCAUAUUUAAUUUGUAAUCAACUGUGAUGGGUAAAUCUAGCACCCUCAAAUCUCAAUCACAUCUUUGAUUCGGAAUCCUCAAA